UACAGAGGUCUCAAGCGUUGUUCGGAUUCAUUGGGCGUAAAGGGUGCGUAGGUGGCUUCGUAAGUCGGGUGUGAAAUUUCGGAGCUUAACUCCGAAACUGCAUUCGAUACUGCGGUGCUUGAGGACUGGAGAGGAGACUGGAAUUUACGGUGUAGCAGUGAAAUGCGUAGAGAUCGUAAGGAAGACCAGUGGCGAAGGCGGGUCUCUGGACAGUUCCUGACGCUGAGGCACGAAGGCCAGGGGAGCAAACGGG
rnacentral:rRNA from 1 species